CANUGGGGGAACCCUGAAUGCAGCGACGCCGCGCUGGAGGAAGAAGGUUUUCGGAUUGUAAACUCCUGUCGUUAGGGACGAUAAUGACGGUACCUAACAAGAAAGCACCGGCUAACUACGUGCCAGCAGCCGCGGUAAAACGUAGGGUGCAAGCGUUGUCCGGAAUUACUGGGUGUAAAGGGAGCGCAGGCGGGAAGACAAGUUGGAAGUGAAAACCAUGGGCUCAACCCAUGAAUUGCUUUCAAAACUGUUUUUCUUGAGUAGUGCAGAGGUAGAUGGAAUUCCCGGUGUAGCGGUGGAAUGCGUAGAUAUCGGGAGGAACACCAGUGGCGAAGGCGGUCUACUGGGCACCAACUGACGCUGAGGCUCGAAAGCAUGGGUAGCAAACAGGAUUAGAUACCCUGGUAGUCCAAGGGCGAAUUC
rnacentral:rRNA from 1 species